UACGUAGGGUGCAAGCGUUUAAUCGGAAUUACUGGGCGUAAAGCGUGCGCAGGCGGUUUUGUAAGUCUGACGUGAAAUCCCCGGGCUCAACCUGGGAAUUGCGUUGGAGACUGCAAGGCUAGAAUCUGGCAGAGGGGGGUAGAAUUCCACGUGUAGCAGUGAAAUGCGUAGAUAUGUGGAGGAAUACCGAUGGCGAAAGGCAGCCCC
rnacentral:rRNA from 1 species